rnacentral:rRNA from 1 species
AGAGUAUGAUCCUAGCUCAGAUUGAACGCUGGCGGUAUGCAUAACACAUGCGAGUCGAACGGCAGCAGAAUUCAUGCAAAUGAAUAGAUGGCGAGUGGCGAACGGGUGAGUAAUAUGCAGGAACCUACCUUUAAGACAGGGAUAACUCAUGGAAACGUGAAGUAAUACCGGAUAAAGUUGAAAAACCAAAAGCUGGGGAUAUUGAAAGAUACCCAACGCUUAGAGAUGGGCCUGUAGUAGAUUAGUUAGUUGGUAGGGUAAAGGCCUACCAAGACGAAGAUCUAUAGCUGUUUUGAGAGAAAGAGCAGCCACACUGGGAUUGAGAUACGGCCCAGACUCCUACGGGAGGCAGCAGUGUGGAAUAUUGGACAAUGAGGGAAACCUUGAUCCAGCAAUACCGCGUGUGUGAAGAAGGCCUUUGGGUUGUAAAGCACUUUCGUUAGAUAAGAAGGGCUAUUUUGGAUAAUAAAAUAGUUUUGACUAACUAAAUAAGAAGUACCUGCUAACUCUGUGCCAGCAGCAGCGGUAAGACAGAGGGUACAAGCGUUAAUCGGAUUGAUUGGGCGUAAAGGGCGUGUAGGCGGCAUAGUAAGUUAAUUAUAAAAGAACAAGGCUCAACCUUGUUAUGUUGAUUAAAACUACUAAGCUAGAGUUUAGUAGAGGAAAGCGGAAUUUCCGGAGUAGUGGUGAAAUGCUAAGAUACCGGAAGGAACACCAGUUGCGAAGGCGGCUUUCUGGGCUAUAACUGACGCUGAGGCGCGAAAGCAUGGGGAGCGAACAGGAUUAGAUACCCUGGUAGUCCAUGCUGUAAACGAUGAAUACUAACUGUUUGCCUUCUUUUAGGUAAGUAGUAAAGCUAACGCUUUAAGUAUUCCGCCUGAGGAUUACGGCCGCAAGGCUAAAACUUAAAGGAAUUGACGGGGAUCUGCACAAGCGGUGGAGCAUGUGGUUUAAUUCGUUUCUACGCGAGAAACCUUACCUGCUCUUGACAUCUUGAGAAUUCCUUAGAAAUAAGAAAGUGUCUGCAUUUAUGUAGAAGCUCAAAGACAGGUGUUGCAUGGCUGUCGUCAGCUCGUGCUGUGAAGUGUUGGGUUAAGUCCUUAAACGAGCGCAACCCUCAUUUUUAUUUGCCAGCAAGUAAUGUUGGGAACUAUAAGAAGACAGUUAGCUUUAAAGCUAAAGGAAGGUGAGGAUGAGGUCAAGUCAUCAUGGCCCUUAUGAGCAGGGCUACACACGUGCUACAAUGGGUGUUACAAUGAGAUGCAAUAUGGCAACAUGGAGCAAAUCUAUAAAAGCACUCUUAGUACGGAUUGCAGUCUGAAACUCGACUGCAUGAAGCUGAAAUCGCUAGUAAUCGCAAAUGAGUAUGUUGCGGUGAAUACGUUACCAGAUCUUGUACACACCGCCCGUCAAACCAUGGAAGUAAAUUGUACCAGAAAUGGGUGUCGUAACUUGAAAAAGAGCAAGCCUAUUAAGGUGUGAUUUAUGACUGGGGUUAAGUCGUAACAAGGCA